UACGUAGGGUGCGAGCGUUAAUCGGAAUUACUGGGCGUAAAGCGUACGCAGGCGGCUAUGCAAGACAGGUGUGAAAUCCCCGGGCUUAACCUGGGAACUGCAUUUGUGACUGCAUAGCUAGAGUUUGUCAGAGGGGGGUGGAAUUCCACGUGUAGCAGUGAAAUGCGUAGAGAUGUAGAGGAACACCGAUGGCGAAGGCAGCCCCCUGGGACCUGACUGACGCUCAUGUACGAAAGCGUGGGGAGCAAACAGG
rnacentral:rRNA from 1 species